CCUACGGGAGGCAGCAGUGAGGAAUAUUGGUCAAUGGGCGCGAGCCUGAACCAGCCACGUCGCGUGAAUGAUGACUGCCCUACGGGUUGUAAACUUCUUUUAUAAAGGAAUAAAGUGAGGCACGUGUGCCUUUUUGUAUGUACUUUAUGAAUAAGGAUCGGCUAACUCCUUGCCAGCAGCCGCGGUCAUACGGAUGAUCCGAGCGUUAUCCGGAUUUAUUGGGUUUAAAGGGAGCGUAGGUGGGUUGUUAAGUCAGUUGUGAAAGUUUGCGGCUCAACCGUAAAAUUGCAAUUGAUACUGGGAGUCUUGAGUACAGGUGAGGUAGGAGGAAUGCGUGGUGUAGCGGUGAAAUGCUUAGAUAGCACGAAGAACGCCGAUGGCGAAGGCAGCUUACUAACCUGUCACUGACAUUGAUGCUCGAAAGCGUGGGUAUCAAACAGGAUUAGAUACCCUUGUAGUC
rnacentral:rRNA from 1 species